GUCAGUGUUGCUAAGUGGUUAGAGCAUCAGCUUGUACACCAGAGGUUCACAGGUUUGAUUCCUGGUCAGGGACA
rfam:Myotis davidii contig117635, whole genome shotgun sequence.